GGUGAGUAGUCGGAGAGAGGGGGAAUAAACAUGGAGAUACCGUUCCACUCAGUCAAAAACUUCCCCCACAUGAGUAGGUCAGCUUUGGCGUGCUGGUCCAACGCAAUUGGGAAGGCGUCCGGUACCCCGUGAAGCAGACAAAGAAGCCUGGAUACAAAAGACCUUCCCUGCGGAAUGAUGCACAUCGUGAAAUUCAGGGAUCCCAAUAAGGACUGAAGUUCUUUCCUGGUGCAUACAUCAUUCCGCAGGAACAUGUCUAUCUCCCCACUCAAGCAAACCAGUUUGUCGGGGGGAAGGCUGGCGCAGAAAGUACCAGAGUCCAGCUCUAUCCCCAAGAAAGUAAGUUUAG